rnacentral:rRNA from 1 species
UACGAAGGGAGCUAGCGUUGUUCGGAAUCACUGGGCGUAAAGCGCACGUAGGCGGAUGUGUCAGUCAGGGGUGAAAUCCCGGAGCUCAACUUCGGAACUGCCCUUGAUACAGCACGUCUUGAGUCCGGAAGAGGUGGGUGGAAUUCCGAGUGUAGAGGUGAAAUUCGUAGAUAUUCGGAAGAACACCAGUGGCGAAGGCGACUUACUGGACACAUAUUGACGCUGAGGUGCGAAAGCGUGGGGAGCAAACAGG